rnacentral:rRNA from 1 species
GAAGUCCACUGAACCUUAUCAUUUAGAGGAAGGAGAAGUCGUAACAAGGUUUCCGUAGGUGAACCUGCGGAAGGAUCAUUGUCGAUGGCCGAAACGAGGGAAAGACCCGCGAACACCGUGACCCGAUCGAAGGGAGGGGGGGGACGCUGCGCCCGCCGCGGCACCGGCGCKAGGCCGGGCGUGGCACGAGGGGCCGGCGAGAUCCUACUACUCUCCCGCCGCGGCACCGGCGCGAGGCCGGGCGCGGCGAACGACCACGCACCCACACGGCGCGAGUGGCGCCAAGGACCCCGAAGAGGAGCGCGGGGGAGGAGGGCGGGCGCAAUGCCGUCCCCUCCGCCGCGGGAGGGAAAAAUGAUAAUACGAGUCGGACGACUCUCGGCAACGGAUAUCUCGGCUCUCGCAUCGAUGAAGAACGUAGCGAAAUGCGAUACUUGGUGUGAAUUGCAGAAUCCCGCGAACCAUCGAGUCUUUGAACGCAAGUUGCGCCCGAGGCCACCCGGCCGAGGGCACGCCUGCCUGGGCGUCACGCACCGCGCUGCCCGCACCCCGACGGGGCCGACGGGCGGAGACUGGCCGACCGUGCGCCUCGCGCGCGCGGCGGGCUGAAAGCUAUGUCGGAUGAGUGCCCCCGGAGGAGGGGCGUCGGCACGGCGUUGGGUGGUCUCGAGGGGCUCCCGGAGCCGCUCCGAUCGGACGCCGCGCGCGCCGCCCGCUCCGAGGGGACGUGAGGCGCCUCCCCCACCACAUGUAAUGUUGGACUGCGUCGCGACCCCAGGUCAGGCGGGGACACCCGCCGAGUUUAAGCAUAUAAAUAAGCGGAGGAAAAGAAACUUACCAGGAUUA